UGGAUUUAUUUCCUUCUGGGUGUGUUUUCCUUUGACGUUGCUGACUUUAAAGGAGAAGUGAGGGAAUAACGCAGUGACCGUCAAGCCUGGGCACUGGGGCUACUGUAAAAACUAAAACGCCGAAUUUAGAUGCGUUAAAGAACUUCCUCCAGCCACUUUGCUCUGAAUUUCCGCCGGUCGGUCUUGGGCUCUCUUGUGUGGAGAGACGGAGGACGUGGAAGGGUCAGGGACACCAGGGGCUCCCAGGCUCCUGCACAGCCGAGAGGGGUGCCUGGUGCCCACGGACCCCUGAGGACCGUCUGACCUCCCUUCCUCUGUGGGUCCACGAGCGGCAUCUUCCGGGAGCGUCAGAAGCCACCUCACAGGACAGCAGGACUAGGUCUCCGGGUGAGCGCUGCAGCCUGGAAGGAGAGCUCUUCAGAUUGAAACCGCCUGACCCGGCCUGGCCCACGCCUGCUCCCGGCUCUGGGCACGCAGUCUCAUGGCCUGCCAGGAGUGUUUUAAGAGAGAGUUAAUGACAGGUUUGCAAGCUUGGGCACCUGCGACGUAGGCGAUAACAGCCAGCAAGCUCGUAAACUAAAGACGCAGACAACGCCUCCCUUCUGCCCCACGGGGCGCUCAGAGGGACCGGCUGGUACCAUUGGCCCGGCAGCUUUUCUCAGGUUGCACGGAAGCCUGUGAAAGGGCGGGACAGCAGUCAAACAUGACUCAACAAAAUUCUCUCUACAGCAAGGCUGUCAGGACUAGGAAGCAGCCUUCUACCUUAACCCUGGCAGUGGGGGGUGUCGGGGUGAGAAGGGGCUUGGAGAGGGCGGUGGGGGUGCCAGGGCCCCAGCGACAGUGCCAGGCGGGGCUCCCCUCACUGCCCGAGCCUCUCUGAGACGUUGUUGCCAUCCCCGGGUCAGACCAGACCCGCUUCUCAACCCCCUAGAGCAAAUUACAGCUGUUUAUGGUUUCAUUUUUUAAAUGAAAACUGAGAAAAAUUAAAUGUAUUAUUAACUCAUUUGAAAGUAACUAAUAGGAGUUCCUGUUGUGGCUCAGUGAAUAAAGAACCCAACAUAGUGUCCA
rnacentral:lncRNA from 1 species